AUUGAACGCUGGCGGCAUGCUUUACACAUGCAAGUCGAACGGCAGCGCGGGGCAACCUGGCGGCGAGUGGCGAACGGGUGAGUAAUAUAUCGGAACGUACCCAAGAGUGGGGGAUAACGUAGCGAAAGUUACGCUAAUACCGCAUACGAUCUAAGGAUGAAAGUGGGGGAUCGCAAGACCUCAUGCUCCUGGAGCGGCCGAUAUCUGAUUAGCUAGUUGGUGAGGUAAAGGCUCACCAAGGCGACGAUCAGUAGCUGGUCUGAGAGGACGACCAGCCACACUGGAACUGAGACACGGUCCAGACUCCUACGGGAGGCAGCAGUGGGGAAUUUUGGACAAUGGGCGCAAGCCUGAUCCAGCAAUGCCGCGUGAGUGAAGAAGGCCUUCGGGUUGUAAAGCUCUUUUGUCAGGGAAGAAACGGUAGAGGCUAAUAUCCUUUGCUAAUGACGGUACCUGAAGAAUAAGCACCGGCUAACUACGUGCCAGCAGCCGCGGUAAUACGUAGGGUGCAAGCGUUAAUCGGAAUUACUGGGCGUAAAGCGUGCGCAGGCGGUUUUGUAAGUCUGUCGUGAAAGCCCCGGGCUCAACCUGGGAAUUGCGAUGGAGACUGCAAGGCUUGAAUCUGGCAGAGGGGGGUAGAAUUCCACGUGUAGCAGUGAAAUGCGUAGAGAUGUGGAGGAACACCGAUGGCGAAGGCAGCCCCCUGGGUCAAGAUUGACGCUCAUGCACGAAAGCGUGGGGAGCAAACAGGAUUAGAUACCCUGGUAGUCCACGCCCUAAACGAUGUCUACUAGUUGUCGGGUUUUAAUUAACUUGGUAACGCAGCUAACGCGUGAAGUAGACCGCCUGGGGAGUACGGUCGCAAGAUUAAAACUCAAAGGAAUUGACGGGGACCCGCACAAGCGGUGGAUGAUGUGGAUUAAUUCGAUGCAACGCGAAAAACCUUACCUACCCUUGACAUGUCAGGAAGUCCGGAGAGAUCUGGAUGUGCCCGAAAGGGAACCUGAACACAGGUGCUGCAUGGCUGUCGUCAGCUCGUGUCGUGAGAUGUUGGGUUAAGUCCCGCAACGAGCGCAACCCUUGUCAUUAGUUGCUACGCAAGAGCACUCUAAUGAGACUGCCGGUGACAAACCGGAGGAAGGUGGGGAUGACGUCAAGUCCUCAUGGCCCUUAUGGGUAGGGCUUCACACGUCAUACAAUGGUACAUGCAGAGGGCCGCCAACCCGCGAGGGGGAGCUAAUCCCAGAAAGUGUAUCGUAGUCCGGAUCGCAGUCUGCAACUCGACUGCGUGAAGUUGGAAUCGCUAGUAAUCGCGGAUCAGCAUGUCGCGGUGAAUACGUUCCCGGGUCU
rnacentral:rRNA from 1 species